UCGGUUGUGAUUCCCUUGAAUAUGGUUCAAAUACUACAUAAUCUAGAACAACUAAAGGUGAUAAAGUGUGAUUCAGUGAAUGAGGUUAUUCAAGUAGAAAGGCUUCCAAGUGAAGAAUUUCAUGUUGAGACACUUCCACGAUUAAUUGAAAUAUGCUUGAAGGAUCUACCUAUUCUAAUUCAUCUAUUUGGAUUAGGCCCAUAUUUUCAAAGUCUUCAAGCUCUAGAGAUAAUUAGUUGUGGGAGUUUGAUAAAUUUGGUAACACCAUUAAUGGCCAAAAGACUGGUGCAACUCAAAAAGCUUAUUAUACAAGAAUGCCACAUGAUAAAAGAAAUAGUGGGAAAUGAAGGACAUGAACUAACAGAUAAUGAGAUUGAGUUCACUAGAUUAAAGAGCCUGGGACUUUAUCAUUUGCCAAAUCUGAAAAGCUUUUGCUCAUCAACAAGAUAUGUCUUCAAAUUCCCAUCCUUGGAAACAAUGGUGGUGAGAGAAUGUCAUGGGAUGGAAUUUUUUUGCAAGGGAGUCUUAGAUGCACCAAGGCUAAAAAGUGUACAAAAAGAAUUUUUUGAAGAAUGUUGGCAGGAUGACCAAAAUACCACCAUACGCAAGAAGUUCAUGGAACAGGGUUAUAAAGAGGAAGAAUCUGAAAAAUUGGAUUCUAUCAAUUCAAAUCUUAGGGAGGAGGAUUUUGAAGAAGACUGAUUUCAUUUUCCAUAUGCAAAACAAGGAAGAGGUGUUUGUUUUUUCUACAUAGUCUAUGUGAGUGAAACACUGCCUUCAAUUGUUUUUUUUUUUUUUUUCUUUUUUUGUUUUCUUUUGUGCAUGUAUAUUAUUACAUCUUAGAAGGGCCUUUGUUCUUAAUGUCCUUUUUUAGGUAUGUUGGACUUUUUAUUUUGAGGAGAUGCAUAGAUUAACAUUUGUGGUAGAGAAAUGUCUGCUAAUGAUGUUUCCUUUAUUUAAAAA